GAACGCUGGCGGUAGGCCUAACACAUGCAAGUCGAACGGCAGCACAGUAAGAGCUUGCUCUUACGGGUGGCGAGUGGCGGACGGGUGAGGAAUACAUCGGAAUCUACUUUUUCGUGGGGGAUAACGUAGGGAAACUUACGCUAAUACCGCAUACGACCUACGGGUGAAAGCAGGGGAUCUUCGGACCUUGCGCGAUUGAAUGAGCCGAUGUCGGAUUAGCUAGUUGGCGGGGUAAAGGCCCACCAAGGCGACGAUCCGUAGCUGGUCUGAGAGGAUGAUCAGCCACACUGGAACUGAGACACGGUCCAGACUCCUACGGGAGGCAGCAGUGGGGAAUAUUGGACAAAGGGCGCAAGCCUGAUCCAGCCAUACCGCGUGGGUGAAGAAGGCCUUCGGGUUGUAAAGCCCUUUUGUUGGGAAAGAAAAGCAGCAGGUUAAUACCCCGCUGUUCUGACGGUACCCAAAGAAUAAGCACCGGCUAACUUCGUG
rnacentral:rRNA from 1 species